rnacentral:rRNA from 1 species
ACACGCAUGACACACUGCAUAUCAAUAAGCGGAGGAAAAGAAACUAACAAGGAUUCCCCUAGUAACGGCGAGUGAAGCGGGAAGAGCUCAAAUUUGAAAUCUUAAAGGGUUUCCCUUUACGAAUUGUAGUUUAAAGAAGUGUUUUCUGUUGGAGUUUCGGUAAAAGUUCUUUGGAAUAGGACAUCAUAGAGGGUGAGAAUCCCGUAUUUGAUCGUUACUUUCCAGCUGUGUGAUACACUUUCAAAGAGUCGGAUUGUUUGGGAAUGCAGUCCAAAAUGGGUGGUAAACUUCAUCUAAAGCUAAAUAUUGGCGAGAGACCGAUAGCGAACAAGUACCGUGAGGGAAAGAUGAAAAGAACUUUGAAAAGAGAGUUAAACAGUACGUGAAAUUGUCAAAAGGGAAGCGUUUGACACCAGUGUUGUUUAGUUGAAAAUCAAUUCAAUAAUUUUUGAUUUUAAGUAGUAUUGACUUCAUCAGCUUGCUGCUUUCUUUUCAGGAAUUAUUGAAUGCACUUUUCAGUUAACAAGUCAACAUCCAUUUCUUUUGUUGUAAAAGGGUAAGAGGAAGGUGGCUUACGCUUUGGCGUAAGUGUUUAUAGCCUUUUACCUCUGCAAUCGGAGAGAUUGAGGACAGCAGCGUAGACUCUUCGGGGUUAGAUACACUUGUGCUAAGCUAUAGCCUUGUAUAGACAACUUGUUGACUAUGCUCAGUCAUGUAGCUUACUCGCUUGUGCUAUUUUACCUACGCUUAGGAUGUUGAGCGCAUGUCUCUCUCU